UACGUAGGGUGCAAGCGUUAAUCGGAAUUACUGGGCGUAAAGCGUGCGCAGGCGGUUUUGUAAGACUGUCGUGAAACCCCCGGGCUUAACCUGGGAAUUGCGAUGGUGACUGCAAGGCUAGAGUUUGGCAGAGGGGGGUAGAAUUCCACGUGUAGCAGUGAAAUGCGUAGAGAUGUGGAGGAACACCGAUGGCGAAGGCAGCCCCCUGGGUCAAAACUGACGCUCAUGCACGAAAGCGUGGGGAGCAAACAGG
rnacentral:rRNA from 1 species